GUCUCUGAGUUUCUGUAAAACAGUAAAAACAGUUUUACUGCCUAUCUUUUAAUCUUCCUUCCUGAAAGGCCACCACCAGACCAGAGCUCACUUUCAAGCUAGAGUACCACUUAGGAGCAAGUGAAACGAAACAAUUUCUCCUUUGACUACUAAGGCAAAACUAAAGGAAAAAAAAAAUCUUUCUUCUGCCAACCUUAUAAUUAAAUUUAAGUGGUUGUAUUAAUUUGGUGACUAUGUAAUUUGAUACCAUUGAUUUAUUGAUCCAAUUUCAAUGAUUACCUUGAUUUAAACCUUGUAUUAGAACAUUUUUAAUUUAUCUCCUAUAGCAAUAGUAGCUUUAAUCAGUGAUGUAUAUGUUUAAUUAGCUUGUUCUUUUAAUAAAAUUCAUAAAAAUAAUGUUUUCAUACAUUCUUUCAAUCUGCAUUCCUCUAAAACAUAGUUUUUCAGUAACUGAAAACCAGUGGGUUUUCCUUCCAAGUUCAUAUAUUUACCUCUUACAGCUAUGUCAGGACAGUCGAGAAUAAAGUUUUGGUCCAUGAAUUGCUGUUUACUGGCAGUCCUGGUAAAGACUAGGAUCUAGGUAAUAAGGAUAAGGAUCUAGGUAAAAUUGUCUCUAUCACCAGCUAAAAAAUAAUAAGCAACUCAACACUGUGAUUUAAAAGAAAGUAAACUGUGACUCUACAAUGUGUGUUUUGCCUCAAAAUAGAACUCUCUGUGCUCUCCCUCAGACCAACAUCAUUUUAUCAUCCCUUUGUACUCUUAGCAAAAAAUAGUUAUUUUAUGAAAAAAAUUAACUUGAGAAAUGUCAGGAGUCAUGGGAAAAAAAAAAGUAAAAGGAAAGAAAACAAAAAAAUCUUAGACUUUGGUAGCAGAUUAUUGAGUUUAUGAAAGGAUGAUGUAUACAGCAGAUUAUCAGUACAUUUGUGUACCUACUUGAUGGACUCUCCUAGGCUGUCACCACAGCAUAUCCCUUAGAUCCACCAGGCAACUGCCCUGGGGUGAUGCAAAGAAGCAUUGGAUAUACAGCCUCUCGCCCUGCCACCUGAAGGCUGAAGCCACUGAUUUGUCAUAAGAGUCAAUACUUUACUGUUGCAUUACUGUUUCUACCUGCCUCUGCUUCUACCUACGGUAUGCCUCUGACACAUGAACAGUCACUUAUCAAGACCAUACAUCCAGAAGUGCUAUGUAGUGUCUGUGAGCUAUCUUUCCCUCCAUCAUCUGUCAUUGAGUCAGUGAAUCUGAUGCGUAUUUUGUGAUGCUGCAGUUCCUCUUGCCAUCUUGUCAUAUUUUGCUGGCAACUAUGCUAAACAACAUUAGCAAUUAUUCAUCAAAAAAAACCCUUGUGAUCUGUGUAGACAACCGGGAAUUAAUACUCAGUAAUCUUCUAGACUUUUGUAGAACCUAGAGGUCUUAGAAGACUUAGUAGAUAAAGAAAAUUACAAGAAUUUGAUCUUUUCUCCAAGAAUGUCAUUAGAUGUUCCCAGUGUUACCAGGAAACUCUAUAUGCAAUAGGUUAAAUUUCGAUUAAUGCAAGAAAUAUGCACCUAGAAAGUAGUAGUAUUAAAGCAAAUAGGUUCAUCAUUGGCAUAGAUGCAAUCUGUAACAAUAUAUAGGUGAAUAUAUGUGAAUAUUUUUACUGCUCAAAGAUAGAACAUAAAAUUAAGAGAACUGUCCACCAUAUAAGGAUCCUCUAUGUGAAAUACAUCUGCAGCUUUACUGAAUCCAGCAAAACCUUCUACCCUGCACUCCAAUAAUCUAUCUUCUUAUUAAAUCAACAAAUAGGAUUUAAGAAAAGUUCAAAGGAAAGCUAGUAAUGGAUCACUAUGAAGAAGUCCUGCAUAUUUAAAGACAAAAAAUGGCUAGGUUUUGAAAUAUUAUUCUCUGAUUAUAUAUAAAAAGUUAUUCUCUGAUAUACACAGUUAUCUGUGUACUUCAAGUUUUUAGCAAUAAUUUUGAGCCUUUAACUCAGGCAUGAAAUACACGCUAAAUGGAAAAAACAAAUACAUUUUAUUUUUAAAAGAUUGUUAAAUGAUUUUAAAGACAGCAGUCAGAUGACAGAUGUCAUUCCCAUGUUAGCAGCAGGGAAAUCCCAGCUUAGGUGCUAGCUGCAGAACUUCCAUGACUUAAAGCUGUGAGACAGAACCCUAGUCAUAGAAAUUUAGACUGGGUUUUAAUGUGAUUUGUUAGGAUUUAAUAUCCAAUAUUGUAGCAAUUUCUCUCCUUUCACAGCAGUGACAUUUUCCCCUGAUAUUUGAGGAGUAGGAGC
ensembl:lncRNA